rnacentral:rRNA from 1 species
AUUGAACGCUGGCGGCAGGCUUAACACAUGCAAGUCGAGCGGAGAGAGGUAGCUUGCUACUGAUCUCAGCGGCGGACGGGUGAGUAAUGCUUAGGAAUCUGCCUAUUAGUGGGGGACAACAUCUCGAAAGGGAUGCUAAUACCGCAUACGUCCUCCGGGAGAAAGCAGGGGAUCUUCGGACCUUGCUCUAAUAGAUGAGCCUAAGUCGGAUUAGCUAGUUGGUGGGGUAAAGGCCUACCAAGGCGACGAUCUGUAGCGGGUCUGAGAGGAUGAUCCGCCACACUGGGACUGAGACACGGCCCAGACUCCUACGGGAGGCAGCAGUGGGGAAUAUUGGACAAUGGGGGGAACCCUGAUCCAGCCAUGCCGCGUGUGUGAAGAAGGCCUUAUGGUUGUAAAGCACUUUAAGCGAGGAGGAGGCUACUUUAGUUAAUACCUAGAGAUAGUGGACGUUACUCGCAGAAUAAGCACCGGCUAACUCUGUGCCAGCCGCCGCCGUAAAAC